UUUCCGUAGGUGAACCUGCGGAAGGAUCAUUAUCGAAUUUCGAGGGGAAGGAAGAUGAGGAGUGGAGGCUGUCGCUGGCUUUCCCGCCUGGGAAGCAUGUGCACGCCUUGCUUCUCGUUGACCUUUCUCUUACUCUCACACCUGUGCACCCAUUGUAGGUCCUCGAAAGAGGAUCUAUGUUUUUAUCAUCACACGCAUCGUAUGUCCAUAGAAUGUAACAUGAUCGUCGAUCGACCUCGCGGUCGGGUGGCGGUCUAAAUAAAUAAAUACAACUUUCAGCAACGGAUCUCUUGGCUCUC
rnacentral:misc_RNA from 1 species